AUUGAACGCUGGCGGCAGGCCUAACACAUGCAAGUCGAACGGAGUGGCGGACGGGUGAGUAAUGUCUGGGAAACUGCCCGAUGGAGGGGGAUAACUCCUGGAAACGGGCGCUAAUACCGCAUACUAUCAGAUGAGCCCAGGUCGGAUUAGCUAGUUGGUGGGGUAAAGGCCUACCAAGGCGACGAUCCGUAACUGGUCUGAGAGGAGGAUCAGUAACACGGGAACUGAGAAACGGUCAAGACUCCUACGGAGGGCAGCAGUGGGGAAUAUUGGACAAUGGGGGAAAGCCUGAUCCAGCCAUGCCGCGUGAGGGAAGAAGGUCUUCGGAUUGUAAAGCACUUUAAGGUGGGAGGCGUUACCAACAGAAUAGGCACCGGCUAACUCCGGGCCAGCAGCCGCGGUAAUAC
rnacentral:rRNA from 1 species